rfam:Myotis lucifugus cont2.30257, whole genome shotgun sequence.
GGUGGUUCUCGGGUGAAACACCUUGGAAUUGGGCUCCCUCCUGUCUGGUUCUGGGUGCAUCACCCAAGAACCACA